rnacentral:rRNA from 1 species
GACGAACGCUGGCGGCGUGCUUAACACAUGCAAGUCGUACGGUAAGGCCCUUUCGGGGGUCCACGAGUGGCGCACGGGUGAGUAACACGUGAGUAACCUGCCCACAACUUUGGGAUAACGCUAGGAAACUGGUGCUAAUACUGGAUAUGUGCUCCUGCUGCAUGGUGGGGGUUGGAAAGCUCCGGCGGUUGUGGAUGGACUCGCGGCCUAUCAGCUUGUUGGUGGGGUAGUGGCCUACCAAGGCGGCGACGGGUAGCCGGCCUGAGAGGGUGACCGGCCACAUUGGGACUGAGAUACGGCCCAGACGCCUACGGGAGGCAGCAGUGGGGAAUAUUGCACAAUGGGCGCAAGCCUGAUGCAGCAACGCCGCGUGCGGGAUGACGGCCUUCGGGUUGUAAACCGCUUUCAGCAGGGACGAAGCUUUUUGUGACGGUACCUGCAGAAGAAGCACCGGCUAACUACGUG